GACGAACGCUGGCGGCGUGCCUAAUACAUGCAAGUCGAACGCAGUGGGGACGGGUGAGUAACACGUUGGUAACCUCCCAUCAGAGGGGAUAACACUUGGAAACAGGUGCUAAACCUAUACUGAUGGAUGGACCCGCGGUGCAUUAGCUAGUUGGGGAGGUAACGGCGCACCAAGGCCACGAUGCAUAGCGGACCGGAGGGGGUAAGCGGCAAAAUGGGGAUUGGGAAACGGCCAAGACUCCUACGGGAGGAAGAAGUGGGGAAUCUUCGGAAAGGAAGGAAAGUCUGACGGAGAAACGCCGCGGGAGUGAAGAAGGUUUCCGGAUGGUAAAACUUUGUAGUUAGAGAAGCGGUAUCUAACCAGAAAGCCACGGCUAACUACGUGCCAGCAGCCGCGGUAAUUC
rnacentral:rRNA from 1 species